UACAGAGGUGGCAAGCGUUGUUCGGAAUUACUGGGCGUAAAGGGCGCGUAGGCGGUUCGAUAAGUCCCGUGUGAAAUCCCUCGGCUCAACUGAGGAACUGCACGGGAAACUGACGGGCUUGAGUUCGGGAGAGGGAAGCGGAAUUCCGGGUGUAGCGGUGAAAUGCGUAGAUAUCCGGAGGAACACCGGUGGCGAAGGCGGCUUCCUGGACCGACACUGACGCUGAGACGCGAAAGCCAGGGGAGCGAACGGG
rnacentral:rRNA from 1 species